UGGUUUGAGGGAAAUCAAGUAUGAGGAGGCAAAUACUUGAACUCAAACCUAUGUGCUCUUGUGACGAGGAACCCGUACAAUCCAAGACUCGAUCAAGAUCUAAAGGUAGAAGCAAAUGUAAGUACGAAUUUAAGUAUGUUUAUGAAGAAACUAACAUUAUGUUGUGUGUAAGAUAAGCAUAGUUGUUUGGAUGAGGAUGAUCCACGACUGUGGUCUCGGACUGACACCAAGGCAUGUAAUAAGACCAUUGCCCAGGUCAGUGAAAGAAUGUUCAUAAGCGAAAGCUCGUCACACGGAUGAACGAGGUCAAUACGAAACAUGGUAUGGAUGGGGACGAAGAGGACCGACUCGUUGCUGCAUGUUCAAGUACUGCACCAAGGUAGUAAGGUUAGCAAAUUAUUUAAUAUAUGAAGGUACGAUGCUCGAAUCCCUCAAACCUACGCUCUCGUGAAAGUGUGUUCGUUUCUAAGCGCCACGCAAGUAAGUGAUUUAAGGAUUUCGAGCUAUGCUUUUAGAUGAAAACGGAAAUGGGUUAUGGAUAAAUUACUAUUAUAACCUGGGUUGGGACGUUAUGGGAUGUUAGGGAAGGUUUCGGGACUGCCCGAGACCAUUUCUGGUUGGAAAAAGGACUCGGGAACAAAAAAUUUUUUGGUCAAACAGCGUCUGCACACCAGAGAGCCCGUCGGCGACGGCCUUUAUGCUGUCGGCGACGGCACCCCUCCACCUGACGCGCUAACUGUCUGUCUACGGGCAAUGUUUAGCGACGGGACCUUCCCGAGCCCGUCGGCGACGCACCAUGUGCCGUCGGCGACGGGUCCCCCUUAUCUACAUAUGCUGAAAUUGUUUGUUUGUUAGGCUAAGGUCCUUAAUUCAGUUCUAGCAUUCAUUAAACAUUAGGAACACCCCAAGUUGAUUAUGAAGUUAAGAAAUUCAAGACAACUAUCAUGUUUUAAUGAUGUAUGUGCGGGAAGUUAUGUAUGCGAAUGAAUGAAAUAAGUAACACGUCUAGAAGGUUUGUAAAGAAAGAUUGGAUGAGUUUAUGAAAAUUUUACACUAUCAUUGAAAAAGUACCUCCAGAUGAAUAGGUAUGAUAUGUUUAAUAUGUACGAAUGAACGAGAUUGUAUGCGGAAAUGAAUAAAUUAAUGAUGACUAGGGAUUGGUUUUCGCAAGGAAGUUUGAAAUCUUGAUAAGUAUGAAUAAUAUAUCAGGAUGCUAGUUUCAAAUUAUGGACUAUGGGAUCUGUGAUUAGGCAAAUUCUCAUAACAUGCUUAUGUAAGUCGUCUAAUGUAACUUGAAUGAGUGAGGGAACGAAGAAUAAAACUAGACGGGUUGUAGAAGAAAAGAAAGAGGUUUUGGGGACGAAACCUUCUUUAAGGGGGGUAGAUUUGUAACACCCCAAAUUCCAUGAGAAAUUUAAUUUAAGCUAGUUAUGAACAAGUAAGGAUAGUCUUGGUCUUAAUAAUAUACAUAUUAUUCUUGAGGGGCCAAAUGUGUAAAGUGGCAAAACUUAAAACAUUAAAAGUAUAAAAAAAAACACACACAUAGAGUGUGCGUGUGUGUAUAUACGAUCGAUCAGGGACAGAGGGUGAGAUGAAACCCUAGUUUCACCAAAAUCCAUCAAAUUGAAGGGGGAUUGAAGGGCUAAACUAAUGCAUGAACCAAGAUUUUUGAUCACUUUAGCGUUUCUACCAUCAUGAACGUGUCAAGGAGAGGUCAAGCAUAGGAGGAUAACGGGUCAAGAUAAGGCAAGGUGACAAAUACACUUAUUGGAGUACUCGAGGUAAGUGAAUUUCGAUUCACUUUUUAGUAGGUUUAAUAGAUUUUAAUACUUAUGUUUACGAAACAUCAUGAAAGAACAUGUAAUAAUCAGAAGUACAAAGCCAAUAAUGCCUCAUUAUUGAAGAAGGUUGUAUUUAAGCCGAAAGUAAAUUGGUGGGUUCAAACGGGUCGAAUUUUAUGUGCAUAUGUUGCGUAAUGUAAUGAAAUUCGUUAUGGUUAAGACCUUGGGUAAGAAUUUUUAGUCAUUAUGUAAGGGGAACAUUUCCCGGACCAUUAGGAACAAGUUUUAUACGAUUCGGUUGUCGGUUAGUGAAUGAACGGAUUGUUUCGUGUUAGUGUAGGAAAUUUUAUAAGUGUAUGUGUAUAGGAAUCCAAAGGGCACGUGGGUUGAAUCAUAGAUUGUCUAUACUAUGUAAAGUUGUGAAUGUGACAUUCUGGCAUAAACCUACAUGUAAAAGAAGCUUGUGUAUAUAUUCGUGAUUAACUGAUUGUGCGUAGGAAGGAACAUUGGCAUGUAUGAAGGUACGCAUGUAUAUAUAUAAGUGUAUAUAUAUAUAUAUGUAUGUAUGUAUGAUAAUAAGUACGUAGGUGUGAAUGUAUGUGUGAAUGAAUGUUCAAUGCUUAAGACAUAUGCAUGAACGUUAUCAAAGUGUUAGAGUAUUUAUGGUUACUAAUGAUGUGCGUUGAGUUGGAAUGUAAUGUAGGUAUGGGAUCGUUGGCUUCAUGAAGAAAUGGAGCUGGAUUUGGAUAAGAGUAUUUAAGAAAGCGCUUGGACAAUUCCACGACUACUUUAUAGAAUGCUCUACGAAAUUCUAUUAUAUAGUUUAAUGUUGUAUGGUAUGUUAAUGACUAAUGGUUUGGUUGUACGUGGUGUCCACAGGUAUCGCUUGGGUUUUCUUUACAUUUAUUGAAGUGAAGCGGACAUAGUUCGAGUUGAGAGCAAGGAUUGUACGGGGUAGAAUGGUCACAUAGUGUAACUCAUAUAGGUUUUGAAGUAUUAAUGUUAUAAAACGUUAUAAAUCCGUUUUAAUGAAUAUAUGGCAUUUCGCAUUUGAACCUUCAUGUGUUUGAUAUGUCUAUUAAAGAACGAAAUUUUUGGGCU